GCCUCAGUAGCUCAGUGGCAGAGCGACUGCCUUGUAAGCAGUAGGCCGGGAGUUCAAUCCCAUAAGGGG
rnacentral:tRNA from 1 species